rnacentral:rRNA from 1 species
CCUACGGGUGGCAGCAGUGAGGAAUAUUGGUCAAUGGACGAGAGUCUGAACCAGCCAAGUAGCGUGAAGGAUGACUGCCCUAUGGGUUGUAAACUUCUUUUAUAUGGGAAUAAAAUGUUCCACGUGUGGGAUUAUUUAUGUACCAUAUGAAAAAGGAACGGCUAACCUCGUGCCAGCCGCCGCGGUAAUACGGUGGGUGCGAGCGUUAUCCGGAUUUAUUGGGUUUAAAGGGUGCGUAGGCGGAUCGUUAAGUCAGUGGUAAAAUUGAGGGGCUCAACCCCUUCCCGCCAUUGAAACUGGCGCUCUUGAGUGGAAGAGAAGUAUGCGGAAUGCGUGGUGUAGCGGUGAAAUGCAUAGAUAUCACGCAGAACUCCGAUUGCGAAGGCAGCAUACCGGCGCCCAACUGACGCUGAAGCACGAAAGCGUGGGUAUCGAACAGGAUUAGAUACCCUAGUAGUC